rnacentral:rRNA from 1 species
GACGUAGGGUCCAAGCGUUGUCCGGAUUUACUGGGCGUAAAGAGCGCGUAGGCGGUCUGUUAAGUGUAGAGUGAAAUCUCCAGGGCUCAACCCGGAAACUGCUCUGCAUACUGGCAGACUUGAGGAAUGCAGAGGUUUGUGGAAUUCCUGGUGUAGCGGUGAAAUGCGUUGAUAUCAGGAGGAACACCCAUGGCGAAGGCAGCAAACUGGGCAUUAUCUGACGCUGAGGAGCGAAAGCGUGGGGAGCGAACAGG